GACGAACGCUGGCGGCGUGCCUAAUACAUGCAAGUCGAGCGAAGUUUUUCUGGUGCUUGCACUAGAAAAACUUAGCGGCGAACGGGUGAGUAACACGUAAAGAACCUGCCUCAUAGACUGGGACAACUAUUGGAAACGAUAGCUAAUACCGGAUAACAGUAUUUCUCGCAUGAGAGAUAUUUAAAAGUUGGUUAUGCUAACACUAUGAGAUGGCUUUGCGGUGCAUUAGCUAGUUGGUGGGGUAAAGGCCCACCAAGGCGACGAUGCAUAGCCGACCUGAGGGGGGGAACGGGCAAAACGGGAACUGAGAAACGGCCAAGAUCCUAACGGAAGGAAGAAGAGGGAAACUUUCGGAAAUGGCGGAAGGCCGAACGGAGAAAGGCCGGGUGGGGGAGAAGGAUUUCGGUUCGUAAAGCUCUGUUGUUAGGGAAGAAUGGAUAUGUAGUAACUAUACAUGUAAGAGACGGUACCUAACCAGAAAGCCACGGCUAACUACGUG
rnacentral:rRNA from 1 species